ACUGAGGGCGGUAGUGUUU
rnacentral:miRNA from 1 species